rnacentral:lncRNA from 1 species
AUCUUUCAGCCUUUAAAUUGAGAGGAACCACCGAAGAACGCAUGCACAGUGUUUCCCAAAAGCCCUGUAUCCUUGGGAGCAACCAAGAUGUAAUCGGUCAGAGAAAUGGUUUCUUCCUGGAUCCAUGUGAGUUAAACUGUUGUGGGACUGGAGACACUCGCGCCUGCAGAGUUGUGGUGACAAGCAAGCCCUCCUCUUUGCUCCCUGUCUGAAGUCUGCAUAUUCCAUGAAUCCUUGAGGGAGCCUGAUUCUUAUAAGGCAGGGGUCACUAAAGGAACCACAACAGUGUCUCCCUUGGAGAAAAGGAAAGGAAAUCACCACCGUUUAAGAACGCCACAGAAUUCAUUCCCUUCAGAUACUGUCCGUGUGUGAGUUACACGUGCCAACUGCCAGGAAACACUCCCUGAGUGGAUAACACACCCAACUGUGCCUUUGGCUGCCUACAACAGUGGCUGCCAGGUAUUAGUUGUUUUUCCAGGCCCCAUUAAGGACUCUUCAUCCUGUCCAGCAAGAGGCAUUAAAGCUUUCACGAGUUAAAGUUGUUCCCAGCUCGGUGUUAUUCAAAGGCAAUUUACACUAAUUAUUCGAGUCCACAGCGUUACCCAUAUUAGCAGAACGAACCAUCUCAGCAGGAAGCUUCAAUAGCGACCCCUCCUGGCGACCCAAGCAGCUUACAUGGCGCUCUACAAGCAUUCUUAUACAGUUGUAUACGCUCAUGCUCUGCCCUCCAGCCGCUCAAACGAUGAAGGUUAUCAAGGUGAAAAACAUCUAUUGAGAUGGAUGGAGAGGAGAGUGGGGCCCACCAGGAAGUGAGGUCGCAACUGACCAAACAAGCACGGUAAAAUAUUCACAAAGAUAAAUUAAAAAAAAAAAUCACAAAGCAUGGGGAAAGAGAACCGAAGGUUGAAAAAUAGCAAAUGUAAAAAGACCCCACGGCACACAAUAACAUCACACAUUCUGGGACCUGGAAAUUAAGUGGAAUAUCCCAGCAGUCCACAGCUGUCCACCCUGACAAGAUAAUAAAGGGGAGGGAGGCUAGAGAUAACACAGAGACUUAUCUCCAUUCAUAUGUCCUGGAAAUAUCGUGGACCCUGCAUUUUUGAGGCCUCCAAACUCUUUGAUCACCUAUCCGCACACACCCCUCACAAAGGUUUGAUCAUCACCUUCCUAUCUAGCUAUUAUGUGUUCCUCUGUUUCAAGCUAUGUAGUGCUACCCAGUAUUACUUGCUGUGCUCCCCAAAUGUUGGUUCUAAUAUUUCUCCCAUGCCAACGGAAUGUUGACCAUGUCAAAUGCCACCAAGUUGAUGGGGUCCAAGGACAUCCCCGUAUACCAUUACUGUCCAUCUCUGCAAGACUUAUAUUCCUCCAUCUCCUCUUGCCACCAGAGGCCUGACCACUCUCUAAGGGUCCUGACCCAGUCAGAACAAAACCAAAUGAGGUCCAAAGCAAUUCCAGCCAGCGGGACAGCCUGUCCUGUAUGUCCUCUGCCCACAGGGAACCUGGGUCUGUAUCCCAGAAUAUCUCUUCCCGUCUCUUUUGAGUUGAAUGCAUUUGUGAACCACUGCCAAGAUCCCCAAGAGUAUCCAUAAAUUCUAGAACCUAGAAUAUAGCUAGAUAUACAACAAGUCCCUAUGGGUUAACAUGUAGGUCAAUUAACAUAUGAUAUAACCAAAAUGAAUUCUGGUAGAAAUAAAAAUGUGAAAGUUAAAAUAAAGUCAGAAUCUAAUUAGUA